rnacentral:rRNA from 1 species
CUGACAAAUUCGACCUC